AACGAACGCUGGCGGCAGGCCUAACACAUGCAAGUCGAGCGCGCCCUUCGGGGUGAGCGGCGGACGGGUGAGUAACGCGUGGGAACGUGCCCUUUUCUACGGAAUAGCCUCGGGAAACUGAGAGUAAUACCGUAUACGCCCUUUGGGGGAAAGAUUUAUCGGAAAAGGAUCGGCCCGCGUUGGAUUAGGUAGUUGGUGGGGUAAUGGCCUACCAAGCCGACGAUCCUUAGCUGGUUUGAGAGGAUGAUCAGCCACACUGGGACUGAGACACGGCCCAGACUCCUACGGGAGGCAGCAGUGGGGAAUCUUAGACAAUGGGGGCAACCCUGAUCUAGCCAUGCCGCGUGAGUGAUGAAGGCCUUAGGGUUGUAAAGCUCUUUCAGCUGGGAAGAUAAUGACGGUACCAGCAGAAGAAGCCCCGGCUAACUCCGUG
rnacentral:rRNA from 1 species